CUGGAGUAUUCGCUCUCCCUCCCAAUUUGGUCCCAUCCACACACUUGAUCCGCCUGCCCUCUAAACCUUCAUCCAAGUCAUUAAUAAAGAUGUUGAACAGAACUGGGCCCAGGACCGAACCCUCUUUACAGCACUCCACUAGUCAAUAGUAGAGGCUGUAACUUAGUAGUAGAACAUAAGUUUUGUAUCCAGGAGCUCCCAUGUUCCAUCCUGGCCUCUGUAUGUGGGGCUAGAGUAAGGUAACUACAGAAUCACAGAAUCCUAGAAUAAUAGAGUUGGAAGAGACCACAUGGGCCAUCUAGUUCAACCCCCUUCUUAUUGCUGCAUAUGCAUGUAUUAGACUAAGUUUUUGUGGGAUCGCCACUUGUGUGUAUGUGUGUUAAGGGAAAAACACCUGAUCAAUUACAAUUCACAAUCAAGGAUAACAAGCUUGAACCACUCCUUGAAUGGGGUAUAACUUGGGGAAUGUUUGUAAUGCUUUUUGGGAUUUGCUGAAUCACUUGCUUCAGAACUUACUUGGAGUAAGUUCCUGGCUGAGAACCUACUAUGCUUGUCUCCUUCCACCAUUGAAGAAAUCUCCAAAGAAAAUGCAUGAAUUUAAUGCAAAGAACUUUAUGCUAAACAGACCCAGCUCUUUAAGACGCUCCUCAGAAGGAGACCUUGGAUCCUUUGAGUCUCCCUCUGGACACCUUCCAGCUUAGAGUCAAUAUCUCUCUUCAACUCUUCAACUGAAAUGCCACGUGGAGGAUGGAGCACAGCACCACAUGGACCCAUGGUAUUUAUUAGUAAAUCCAUCUGCUUUCUAUGCUAGGAGUGACACAAAGGGUAGUAAGAGCUGAGCUGCAAGAACUGUGGAAGUAAACUCACACCACU
rnacentral:lncRNA from 11 species